UACGUAGGGGGGCAAGCGUUGUCCGGAAUCAUUGGGCGUAAAGAGCGUGUAGGCGGCUCGAUAAGUCUGCUGUGAAAGUCCAGGGCUCAACCCUGGAAGGCCGGUGGAAACUGUCGGGCUAGAGUCCGGAAGAGGCGAGUGGAAUUCCCGGUGUAGCGGUGAAAUGCGCAGAUAUCGGGAGGAACACCAAUGGCGAAGGCAGCUCGCUGGGACGGUACUGACGCUGAGACGCGAAAGCGUGGGGAGCAAACA
rnacentral:rRNA from 1 species